rnacentral:rRNA from 1 species
GACGAACGCUGGCGGCGUGCUUAACACAUGCAAGUCGAACGGAAAGGCCCUGCUUUUGUGGUGUUCUCGAGUGGCGAACGGGUGAGUAACACGUGAGUAACCUGCCCUUGACUUUGGGAUAACUUCAGGAAACUGGGGCUAAUACCGGAUAGGAGCUCCUGCUGCAUGGUGGGGGUUGGAAAGUUUCGGCGGUUGGGGAUGGACUCGCGGCUUAUCAGCUUGUGGGUGGGGAAGUGGCUUACCAAGGCUUUGACGGGUAGCCGGCCUGAGAGGGUGACCAGCCACCUUGGGACUGCGAUACGGCGCAGACUCCUACGGGAGGCAGCAGUGGGGAAUAUUGCACAGUGGGCGGAAGCCUGAUGCAGCAACGCCGCGUGCGGGAUGACGGCCUUCGGGUUGUGAACCGCUUUCGCCUGUGACGAAGCGUGAGUGACGGUAAUGGGUAAAGAAGCACCGGCUAACUACGUG